rnacentral:lncRNA from 1 species
UUACAUAGUUCUUGACAUAUCAUAUUUCACACUUUGAUUCAAGUGGGUUAUGAACUCCCAUUUUUACCCCGUAUACAGAUGGCAGAAUCACAUCGGUUACACAUCCACUGUUUUACAUAUUUUAUUACAAAAAGUUUUUGUUUUAUUUUGAGGUCAGGCUGGCUUCAAACUUCCAAUCCUCCUCCCUCUGUCCCUGCACAGUAGCUGAGAUUAGAGGUGUGGACCAUUGCACCUGGUUACAGAACAUUUUAAAAAUCUCUUAACAACAACAAAAUAAAACAGGUAGGAAUUUAUGACUCCAGAUGAAAUGUGCAGGUAAAAGCAGAAAAGGGUAGAAGGGCUACCUGCUUCUCAAAUUUCAGCCUCCAAGUCCAGAUUACACACCCUUGACCUCUAAGUGCAGCUGACCCUAUGCAUUCAAAUCCUUCCUACAGGGACCAAGCAGAAGGAUGUAUGAGGGGCAGGUGAGAGAAAAGAGCCAUGAAGGCAAGAGAGCACAACACAGGAGUGAUGAUAAACCUCCAUUCUCUUNUUCCUCCGUUUGCUGAGCCCAGAGCUAAAGUAGCCACCCCCUGCCCUUAGCAAACCAUUGUGAACUUUCCUCAGGCCAUUAGCCAUGUUUGGCUUGGUUUGUCCCCAUCCAUGUAGAUGACCCCAUCUUAAAUCAUCCUAGUGCAGGAAAAUGGCAGAGAGAAGCAGGACAAUGCCCUAGGAGAGGGAGGAAGGAAAAGGGGGGAAGAGGAAGAAAGGGAAUGCAUAAAAUAAAUAAAAGAUGUAAACUAAAGUACUUGUGAUUACAGACCGAUUGUUAUUUUUGCUUAUCCGUAUUUUUUAAUUAUUUGCAGCAAAUGGAUAUUAUUUUUCCAAUAAGAAAAAGAGUUUUGAGUCAGGUAUAGUGGCUCACUGGGAAGCUCGCUGUAAUCUCAGCUACUCAGGAGGUGGAGCUAGAGGAAUCAAGUUCAAAGCCAGCCUGGGUAACUUAGCAAGACUUGGUCUCAACCCAAAAUGAAAAAGACCAGGGAUGUAGCUCAGUGGUAGCACUUGCCUUGCAUAUUGAGUCUCCGAAUUCGAGCCCUAGUCCUGAAGAAAAAAGGAAGUGUUCUGUGUUUUACAAUAGUUAAACCACAAGCUAUAGCAGGAAAUGCACAGACCUAACAUCUCCCAACACAUCCUGUUCAGUUUUGAUCUUAGGUCAACUUGCCCGUCUUAGGUGAUUUGGUAGCUUCAGAUUUCAGACCUGUCCUGUUCUCUAAUGACUUGGGGUAGUUCAUCAUCUUUAGGAAACAUGCUUUUGUUGGGAGGGUUUUUUUUUCUUAAUAACAUAUGACUCAACAGGUAACCAACAAAGAAAACACGCUGAGCGGUGGCACCCGAAUGAGCAGCAUGUACUGGCUCUCUCCAGCACUACUCACAGGCCUUGGGGGCCACGGAGCUAUGAGCACAGAGUGGGUUUCUUCAGGCUGCCAGGGCCUUGGCUUUCCAGGCUGCUCUUCCUUUCAACACCAUUCACACUGAGUUUAUAAGCAGUAUGAACGUUAAAGAGGGAUUGGAGUUCUAAGAGUUUCCAAAUAUGAGGUCAGAAUCUAAGAACUGAUUGUCUAGUUGUGGGUAUUUGCAAGUAGAACCCACUGCUGCUUGGUGCCUUGAUGAUAAGAUGGGAAGCCCACUGAAGCCUUUAAUGUCAUUCCACACAAGUUCCCUCCUGCCCCGAAGACCCUGCUGCAGCCUUCGCCCAUCUCCUGCCCUGUUAUGUUCCUUCUUUUCCAUUCCUGCUUGAGAUGGCCCAUGGUUGUUAGAUUUAAAAUCACGUCAACAUUGAUUCCACCUGAUUCUACACUCAGCCUGAGGUUUCUGUGAUCAAGUGCUACCAAAAGAAAAUUGGAGGUGACCUGGGAUGACUUCAGGAGCUUCUCUGGGAGAAGUGGGCUUACCAAGCCCUGGAAAGAUGCAUCAGUGCGGUGCAGAGAGAGAGAGAGUUUGCAUGAGGGCUCAGAGGCAGGACUGGGUCAAAACCCAUCUGGCUUGGGCAGAGAAUUUUAGAUGGAACCUUCUCCCAGAAGCUAGAGUACAUGCUCAAAAUGCAUUUUUUUUUUUUUUGAAAGGAUGAAUGGGCUGGUAAGGAUGGAAGACUGAGCUGGUUAAUUUGGGUUUUGUCUUGACUGUGAGGUCCUGAGAAGUGCAUGCUUCUAAGCAGCUAGUGAUAAGCUAAAUGCGAUUUGGAAAGACGUAUCUGCGCCGGAUGGGACAGGUAGGGAAGGGUGAGCUGGUGGGGAGGAAGGGAAACUGUGGGCAGGAGAGAAAGGACUUAGGAGGCAGCUACAAAAGACUGUUGUGAAAUAAGAACCACUGGAUUUUAGUGUCUAACUGAGUGUGAAGGUUCCAAACAAGGAAAGAAGAAAAGACGGUGCUGACGUAAAAAUCUGGGGAGACUCGGUUCACUCUCCAACUCCUUUCCCAUUUAUUCUUUCUCUGAUUGAGCAACAGGGAUUGUGCAUUUACCUUGUGGCAGGCCCUGUGAAAAGAGCUGGAGAUUAAAAAAUAAUAUCUUUUUUAACCAGAUGGAUAAAAGAAUCAGUAUCUGCCCUGAAAAAGUUUAGAGGCUAGUACAAGAGCAGAGCAGAUCAACACAACGGUGGAAAUGAUGCGGGGAGGCCAAGCUCAUGGGGGCACUGGAGCUGCAGAGCAUAGAAGGUCUUUAAUCUCCAGUUGUUGCCAUCGCAUGGACACCCCCACACACACCAGCUCACUCUGCCAAGGUUUAGAGAGAGAUGUAAACUGGAAAAGCUCCCCAGGGAGGAGGAUCCCUGAGUAGCCUGCUACCCUUCCCUGAUGGAGAGGAGUGGUGGGUGGAACCUGGUAGCGCCAGGGUACCACAGGUGUGAUUCGAUCUCUGCCUAACUUCUUACCUACCUUCCUCCCACUGGUCUACAGACAUUGCUGAGAAUCCUGAAGGUAGGAGCUGGAAAAGAUAAUUUAGUAUCCACUCCCUUAUUUUAGAUGAAGAAACUCCCCUGGCAAGGUUUCUUGGUCUUCAGACCUCUCUCCCUGUUCUUCAAUAAAACUGUGUGGGGUCAGUAGAAAGCUAAGAAAUAAACACAUAAUAAGGUGCAAAUGAAGCCACAGCCAGUGUCAAGAGCUGAUAAUGACUCAAUAUGUUUUUCCUUCUAGAAUAAUUUACAUUUUAUUUUAUUUUUUUUAAUUUUUAUUGUUGGUUGUUCAAAACAUUACAUAGUUCUUGACAUAUCAUAUUUCACACUUUGAUUCAAGUGGGUUAUGAACUCCCAUUUUUACCCCGUAUACAGAUGGCAGAAUCACAUCGGUUACACAUCCACUGUUUUACAUAUUUUAUUACAAAAAGUUUUUGUUUUAUUUUGAGGUCA